rnacentral:rRNA from 1 species
GGGCGUUAAGUUGCAGGGUAUAGACCCGAAACCCGGUGAUCUAGCCAUGGGCAGGUUGAAGGUUGGGUAACACUAACUGGAGGACCGAACCGACUAAUGUUGAAAAAUUAGCGGAUGACCUGUGGCUGGGGGUGAAAGGCCAAUCAAACCGGGAGAUAGCUGGUUCUCCCCGAAAGCUAUUUAGGUAGCGCCUCGUGAAYUCAUCUCCGGGGGUAGAGCACUGUUUCGGCUAGGGGGCCAUCCCGGCUUACCAACCCGAUGCAAACUGCGAAUACCGGAGAAUGUUAUCACGGGAGACACACGGCGGGUGCUAACGUCCGUCGUGAAGAGGGAAACAACCCAGACCGCCAGCUAAGGUCCCAAAGUCAUGGUUAAGUGGGAAACGAUGUGGGAAGGCCCAGACAGCCAGGAUGUUGGCUUAGAAGCAGCCAUCAUUUAAAGAAAGCGUAAUAGCUCACUGGUCGAGUCGGCCUGCGCGGAAGAUGUAACGGGGCUAAACCAUGCACCGAAGCUGCGGCAGCGACRCUGAUGYGUUGUUGGGUAGGGGAGCGUUCUGUAAGCCUGYGAAGGUGKSYYGUGAGGSWUGCUGGAGGUAUCAGAAGUGCGAAUGCUGACAUAAGUAACGAUAAAGCGGGUGAAAAGCCCGCUCGCCGGAAGACCAAGGGUUCCUGUCCAACGUUAAUCGGGGCAGGGUGAGUCGACCCCUAAGGCGAGGCCGAAAGGCGUAGUCGAUGGGAAACGGGUUAAUAUUCCCGUACUUGGUGUUACUGCGAAGGGGGGACGGAGAAGGCUAUGUUGGCCGGGCGACGGUUGUCCCGGUUUAAGCGUGUAGGUGUGUGUUCCAGGUAAAUCCGGUUCACUUUAACACUGAGGCGUGAYGACGAGGCACUACGGUGCUGAAGCAACAAAUGCCCUGCUUCCAGGAAAAGCCUCUAAGCAUCAGGUAACAUCAAAUCGUACCCCAAACCGACACAGGUGGUCAGGUAGAGAAUACCAAGGCGCUUGAGAGAACUCGGGUGAAGGAACUAGGCAAAAUGGUGCCGUAACUUCGGGAGAAGGCACGCUGACACGUAGGUGAAGUGAUUUACUCAYGGAGCUGAAGUCAGUCGAAGAUACCAGCUGGCUGCAACUGUUUAUUAAAAACACAGCACUGUGCAAACACGAAAGUGGACGUAUACGGUGUGACGCCUGCCCGGUGCCGGAAGGUUAAUUGAUGGGGUCAGCGCAAGCGAAGCUCCUGAUCGAAGCCCCGGUAAACGGCGGCCGUAACUAUAACGGUCCUAAGGUAGCGAAAUUCCUUGUCGGGUAAGUUCCGACCUGCACGAAUGGCGUAAUGAUGGCCAGGCUGUCUCCACCCGAGACUCAGUGAAAUUGAACUCGCUGUGAAGAUGCAGUGUACCCGCGGCAAGACGGAAAGACCCCGUGAACCUUUACUAUAGCUUGACACUGAACAUUGAGCCUUGAUGUGUAGGAUAGGUGGGAGGCUUUGAAGUGUGGACGCCAGUCUGCAUGGAGCCGACCUUGAAAUACCACCCUUUAAUGUUUGAUGUUCUAACGUGGACCCGUWAYCCGGGUUGCGGACAGUGUCUGGUGGGUAGUUUGACUGGGGCGGUCUCCUCCUAAAGAGUAACGGAGGAGCACGAAGGUUGGCUAAUCCUGGUCGGACAUCAGGAGGUUAGUGCAAUGGCAUAAGCCAGCUUGACUGCGAGCGUGACGGCGCGAGCAGGUGCGAAAGCAGGUCAUAGUGAUCCGGUGGUUCUGAAUGGAAGGGCCAUCGCUCAACGGAUAAAAGGUACUCCGGGGAUAACAGGCUGAUACCGCCCAAGAGUUCAUAUCGACGGCGGUGUUUGGCACCUCGAUGUCGGCUCAUCACAUCCUGGGGCUGAAGUAGGUCCCAAGGGUAUGGCUGUUCGCCAUUUAAAGUGGUACGCGAGCUGGGUUUAGAACGUCGUGAGACAGUUCGGUCCCUAUCUGCCGUGGGCGCUGGAGAACUGAGGGGGGCUGCUCCUAGUACGAGAGGACCGGAGUGGACGCAUCACUGGUGUUCGGGUUGUCAUGCCAAUGGCACUGCCCGGUAGCUAAAUGCGGAAGAGAUAAGUGCUGAAAGCAUCUAAGCACGAAACUUGCCCCGAGAUGAGUUCUCCCUGAGACUUWRRGUCUCCUGAAGGAACGUUGAAGACGACGACGUUGAUAGGCCGGGUGUGUAAGCGCAGCGAUGCGUUGAGCUAACCGGUACUAAUGAACCGUGAGGCUUAACCUU